rnacentral:rRNA from 1 species
GACGAACGCUGGCGGCGUGCCUAACACAUGCAAGUCGAACGGAGUUGCCCUUCGGGACAACUUAGUGGCGAACGGGUGAGUAACGCGUGAGAAACCUGCCUUUCAGUGGGGGACAACAGUUGGAAACGACUGCUAAUACCGCAUAAUGUAUCGAGAGGGCAUCCUCUUGAUACCAAAGAUUUAUUGCUGAAAGAUGGUCUCGCGUCUGAUUAGCUAGUUGGUGAGGUAACGGCUCACCAAGGCGACGAUCAGUAGCCGGUCUGAGAGGAUGAAUGGCCACAUUGGGACUGAGAUACGGCCCAGACUCCUACGGGAGGCAGCAGUGGGGAAUAUUGGGCAAUGGGGGAAACCCUGACCCAGCAACGCCGCGUGAAGGGAGAAGGGCUUUCGGGUUGUAAACUUCUUUGUCGAGGAAGAGUAGAAGACUGUACUCGGCGAAUAAGCCACGGCUAACUACGUG